GAAUAGCAAAUGUGCAGUAAAGGGUCCAAAUUGGUAAAGAAGCUUGAAUAACUGUUUAUUAGUGCGAUACAACAGUCAAGAACAGUAGGGAUUAGGGAACAUACAAAAAUAAAUGCCUAGUGAUGAUUUGGUGCAUUCACAGUCAUAUCUUCCAUUUCCUCAUCAGCACCACCUGAAAAUAGACAAGAUGGAAAUAUAAAUAAAAUAUAUUACAAAUCAAUUAAUCAACUAAGAUUUCUUAGAUAAUUUGAAUGUAACAUACAACAAGUAGUACUGGACAGUUUAGGUAACUUCUUCAAACCAGACUUUAGUUCUUGAAAAUGAUGUAAGAUAUAAUCAAUUUUUAUGCUUGCAAAUACUUCUCGCUCAAUAUAACAUAACAUUCUAUAAUUCAGCCACUCAUCCCCC
rnacentral:lncRNA from 1 species